rnacentral:rRNA from 1 species
CCUUGCCUUAUAACGGCGAGUGAAGCGGCAAAAGCUCAAAAAUUUGAAAUCUGGUACUCUUCGGUGCCCGAGUUGUAAUUUGGAGAGGGCAACUUUGGGGCCGUUCCUUGUCUAUGUUCCUUGGAACAGGACGUCAUAGAGGGUGAGAAUCCCGUGUGGCGAAGAGUGCGGUUCUUUGUAAAGUGCCUUCAAAAAGUCAAGUUGCUUGGGAAUGCAACUCUAAGUGAACGAA